UAUUGAUGGUGUGGACAGUCUCAUACAAAAUCCUUGAAAUGCUCCCAAGCAUGAUAUUAAUUUUUACCUGGCUUCUGUUUAAAGAAAAAAAUCUCACUGCGAAGUCU
rfam:Capsicum annuum cultivar Zunla-1 chromosome 1, whole genome shotgun sequence